rnacentral:lncRNA from 1 species
GUACCACCCUUCCUUCAGCCUGCAGUUGGUCCUGCAGGGACAUGUUAUGUGGGAGCAGCCCCUGGCCUGUUUGGGGGUUCCUGACACCCAUUUCUGCCGGUCCCCUAGGAGACAGAUUUACUACUAGAUGAUUCUUUGGUGUCUCUCUUUGGGAAUCGUCGGCUAAAAAGGUUCUCCAUGGUGAUAGACAAGGGCGUAGUAAAGGCACUGAACGUGGAGCCGGAUGGCACAGGCCUCACCUGCAGCCUGGCCCCCAACAUCCUCUCACAACUCUGAGGCCCUGACCAGAAUGUCCUCUGACUCUCCCAUCUCCUCCACCCAGCUCUGGGCCAAAGGCCCAGUACCUC